rnacentral:rRNA from 1 species
GCGUGCUAAUCUGCGAUAAGCGCCGGUAAGGUGAUAUGAACCGUUAUAACCGGCGAUACCCGAAUGGGGAAACCCAGUGUGACUCGUCACACUAUCAUUAACUGAAUCCAUAGGUUAAUGAGGCGAACCGGGGGAACUGAAACAUCUAAGUACCCCGAGGAAAAGAAAUCAACCGAGAUUCCCCCAGUAGCGGCGAGCGAACGGGGAGGAGCCCAGAGCCUGAAUCAGCAUGUGUGUUAGUGGAAGCGUCUGGAAAGGCGCGCGAUACAGGGUGACAGCCCCGUACACAAAAGCGCAUGUGCUGUGAGCUCGAUGAGUAGGGCGGGACACGUGGUAUCCUGUCUGAAUAUGGGGGGACCAUCCUCCAAGGCUAAAUACUCCUGACUGACCGAUAGUGAACCAGUACCGUGAGGGAAAGGCGAAAAGAACCCCGGCGAGGGGAGUGAAAAAGAACCUGAAACCGUGUACGUACAAGCAGUGGGAGCACCCUUUGGGUGUGACUGCGUACCUUUUGUAUAAUGGGUCAGCGACUUAUAUUCUGUAGCAAGGUUAACCGAAUAGGGGAGCCGGAGGGAAACCGAGUCUUAACCGGGCGUUAAGUUGCAGGGUAUAGACCCGA